CCUCGCAAUUGCCAUCGCUUGAUUUUCGGUCACCGUUGACCGGCAACAUUAAGGUAAUUCAUACUUUGAGGGUAAUCUUGUAAAUUCUGAUCUUGUAGAUAUUUUAGUAAUUUAAAUGGAUGGUAGUUUGGUAAUUUAGGAUUCUGAUGGUAUUUCGGUAAUUUAUGAUUUGAAGGGGAUUUUUAUAAUUUAUGGAUGUAGGAUAUUUUUGUAAUUUUAUGAAUAUGGGAAUGAUUUAUUACGAGUAAAUGUUGUUUUGAGCUUGUCAGUUGUAGUUCAUAUUUAUGGAAAGUGAUUGUGUCAUUUUCUUGAUUUAAGAGAAACAACAAA
rnacentral:lncRNA from 1 species